rnacentral:rRNA from 1 species
GACGAACGCUGGCGGCGUGCUUAACACAUGCAAGUCGAACGGAAAGGCCCUGCUUUUGUGGGGUGCUCGAGUGGCGAACGGGUGAGUAACACGUGAGUAACCUGCCCUUGACUUUGGGAUAACUUCAGGAAACUGGGGCUAAUACCGGAUAGGAGCUCCUGCUGCAUGGUGGGGGUUGGAAAGUUUCGGCGGUUGGGGAUGGACUCGCGGCUUAUCAGCUUGUUGGUGGGGUAGUGGCUUACCAAGGCUUUGACGGGUAGCCGGCCUGAGAGGGUGACCGGCGACAUUGGGACUGAGAUACGGCCCAGAAGCGUACGGGAGGCAGCAGUGGGGAAUAUUGCACAAUGGGCGGAAGCCUGAUGCAGCAACGCCGCGUGCGGGAUGACGGCCUUCGGGUUGUAAACCGCUUUCGCCUGUGACGAAGCGUGAGUGACGGUAAUGGGUAAAGAAGCACCGGCUAACUACGUG